UCAAACGAUUUGACUAUUGCACAAGAUACAUCUAUUAUAGUUUGAACUCUUCAAAUAUAAUAUUAAAAUAUUUUAUAAAUAAAUUUUAGACACAACAAACCUGCUCUGAUACCACUGAAGGAUUGCGUAUAGGUGUUCGUAACACGCAGCGGAAGACAAUUACAAUCCUAGGUAGAUUUUCUCAUGUUUAAAAUUUAUUUACGUAUCAAAGAUCAGAUCAAAGACGUACCUGGUGAAGAGAGUCUCGUUUCAAAAUUCUUCGAUAGUGGGAAGACUCUAUGCGUAUCCACACCGAGACCGAUC
rnacentral:lncRNA from 1 species